CUAACCCAGAAACUAGGUUAGCUAAGGUAGCUAAACGACCGUUAUUGGAUGGGCCGCUCCAGGGUCUCUGCUCAGACUUCUCGAAGGGAGAGCAAUGAGCAUGGACACUGCCAAUACAUCCCUUUCAUAGCAGGUCUGGUAAAUACGGGCCGGGCCAACUACUGAAGCAAGUGGUCUACGCAAGCCUCCUGACAGCGGAUCGAAGCGCGAGCGGUCGGUCUUUAAGUGCAGAGACCACACGAGCAGCAGGUGGUGUGGUCAACCCCAUCCGCAACGAGGGGAACGGAUGGCUCUGCUUUGUCCUCUGUACAAACGUGAGUUUGAGGCUCAUCUUCCCCUCCUCACUGGCUCAACUGUGUAAGCCACUGGUUGUCUCCUCCAAAUAACUUUGGAGGAGUCUUCGGCCAUGUGCACUCUGAAUGUGAGAGGUUGUAGCGUGAAGGUCUUCUUCCUGGGCUGACUUUCCAACUUACCAACCUCACGACUCAGUCAGUGACGCAGCAGCGGUGCGGCGGCAAGCCGGCGAGAGCAUAAAUUAUCGACAACGGCAAAUCUCUUCGAAUUUAACGUGCAAACGUUUUACAUCAAAAACAUCCUCGGGAAAUACUCCAACAGACUUAAUUCUGUACAAUACCCGUCAACACUAGGCCGUUUCAUGCCCGCUUUAAGUGUGCACUGUACUCAAUUACCGCUUAAAAUGAACUGAUAGUAAAUGUAGCUAUUAAUGUGACUACAUUUGUGUUGAGAUGCGGACUCUGAGGUGCGUGGCUCGAAACACGAGGACGCUGGGUGUUGGUGUUGGAAGACAGUUUAUUGUACGGUUUGCAGCUAAUGAUACAUGGCGCGAGUUAAUGUGAUUUCGAUUGGUGUUUCUUAACGCUACUGCAUUGUCUGAACACGUGGAUGAGGAAUCAGGGAAACAUCUUGGUCAAUUGCUCCCACUCCGCCCAAAAGCCAUCUGGCACCACAACACUCGAACCAGGUCUAAUGUCUCGCCACUACCACAAGUGAACCCUGACCCUUUUCCGUCCCAGGCCACACAUCUGUAUGCAGCGCAGCCCGACAGCGACAACGGGUCAAUGCCCGCACAGCAUCGGAGGAUCUGAGGAAACAGAUAAGGGUUUACAACCUCGGGGAGGGCAGCGUAUUGAUCGGAGAUGCAGCUCAGAGUCAAUCAUUGCUGGUACUACAAACCCAGCCAAACCUCAAUGGAAGAGGGGACCGCUGCCCGGAUUCAGGUUAAUAAAUAAUACGUCAUACUGUACGUCGUUAUUAUGUUUCAUCUUGUUUGACUCUGUUCCGUUUCUUCAUAAAAUGGGUUAGAUAAAAAUCGAUUUCUUUAAUUUGAUGUACUAUUGUCCUCCUCUACAGCUUUUAGUUAUCCAACGCGGUUCAUCAAUAUUCAUGCAGUGGAAAUGGGGACUUACCUUCCAAGUCAUUGCUUGAGGUUCCUUCUUUAUUUUCUCCAGACGAAGCAGCUGCGGACCACAUGUUGGCCCUUGACCCGCUACCAACCUCACAGACACUCUUUUCCACGUGUAUUCCACGUGGUCCAUUUUCUUGAUGACCUCAUUGUGAGGCCAACAUGAUUUUCUUAGAGUUGAGUUUUACAAAACAAACUAAAUCAUUUUAAAUUAUUCAAACAAAUCCAAGGAAUAGAGAGGCCUCUAAAACCAUCCAGAUACAAGGUGGAGAUUGCUUUGAAACAAAUCAGCACAAGCUUUGUUAAAUAAGAGGACAUAUAAGAAAAGAGAGAGGAAUACAGGAGGAGAGAGAGAGCGGCAGAGAGAUACAGAGAGAGAGAAAGGAAGAGUGGCCUGAUAGAUUGCAUGUUCAGCAGAUCAGACCAAUACAUUGAUUACAAGUUCAAUGCUUUAAUGGUUUUACAGAGUGACUUUCUAUUAUUAGUCUGAGAGUAGACCAACCACUGGAUUGGAUUGACUGGUCGAUUAUGAACAGGCUCUAAAUUUACUGUAAGCAGUGAUGGCAUCUGUUUAUCUGUACGACUCUGAGCGUAGUUUUUGAUCCACCCCAAAAACUUAAGAUAGUUAAUCGUUUUUAACAAAAGUAUUCAUACUCUCCUUCUUCUAGUUACAGACUCGUACAAGGACUCCGGGAGGAAGGGUGCUCUGAAUGAUGUGACUAGAGAGGGGGAGAGUCCUGAGAGCCUGACUGGCUGCCUCAGUUAUGGGAGUGGUUCUCAAAGGGGCUGCAUGGUAUAACUGUUCAAACUUGUCCGAUCCCCAAAGAAAUGAUUUGGGAUUCAGCAAACACUGUAAUCCAAUGUUGAGACGGCUGAGAACCAUCAAACCAUGGAAUCAAUAUUGGAGCAACUGGAAUAGUAUCCAACACAAUCAGAGAAUAUGGGAAUAGGAUAACUGCAGGAAUGAGAUAGAUCCGUCCUCAGAGAGCAGCACCGGUCGAUGGCCGCCCGAUGCUAACAGCAUUACCCUGGGCUGCGAUUGGCCGACACCAGCGGAGGCUCCGAUUGAUCCAGCAGCUCUCUGCCACGCUGGAUCAGCUCUCCUUCAUUGGUCGAGGAAAUAUUGAUAUUGGCCGAUAUCUGCUGUCGGAAACCAGCUUUAUAUUUUUAUAAUCGCGGGGUAUUUUUAGUGCUUGCGUGCAGUUUUUUUUGGGGGGUAGAGAAUUGAUACUUAAUGACGUUUCCAGAUUUUUUUUUUGUUUGAGUCAGCACCAGAAUUUCCAACAGAUCCUAAUUUCCUCCCUUCCAUCUGGAGAUGAGAGUCGGAGGCAAACGGAUCAAUACACCGUUUGACUCUGCUAUUAGGCCUAUGAGUUGUCACAAUGUAAACUACAGAUAGCUGCAUAUAUGCUUAUACUUUGCGAAUAAUAAAUAACACCAAUUAAAUAACCGUGUAAGCUUCAUAAUAAAUCAUGAAACAUUAAAAA